AAAGCAGGCUGUGGGUCACACUGACUCCCCCCUCAUCCUGGAGGGAGUAGCCACCUGGUGCUGAGGGGUGGGGUACUCCCAAAUAAGGCAGAGUGGGGUCCAGGAACAGGCCUGAAGUCACACCCAGGCAGAUGGAUCCACCACCCCUCACUGAAAACAGAAAAUGCAGAUUCCUUCCCUUCCAGGCACUUGAGGGGUUGGGCGAGAGGGUCCCCAGGUCUGCACCCCAUGCUUUCAAGCUAAGCUUCCACGUUCCCUCUCAGAGUUGGUGAGGCCCACAAACUCAGGCUGGGUGCUCUCCCAUCUGUGGAGAGCCACUGUUGAGCGCUGCUUGGACAGAGAAGACAUUUGCUUCACCUGAGCUCCGACAGGACUUCCUAGUCACAGAUUAACUGAGUUGGGUCAUUGCUCACUAGCUCCAGUGUUUACCACUGAGCUAAUAUUUGCCUAAUAAGUAAGCGCCAGGUGUGGGGCCUCUGUUUCAGAAAGCAAGCACCCUGGGUAGCUCAGGAGAUGGUGUGUCAGGGUCCUGGAGCAUACUGCCUGCGGCUCAGUCCUCCCUAAGCCUCGGCCCAGAAGGUGUUAGGGGCACCCAUCCAUGCUGCCCCAAUUCCAUGGGAAGGUGCUACAGCCCUCUUGAGAAUGCUGACACGUUUAAGUGCCCCAUAAGUGCCCACCGUUCCCAGUGCACAGCGGAAGUGCCAGUGUGCAAAGCCACCGCCGCUCUGGGGCCCACCACAGCUGCACCCCGGGCAGCCUCACCUUGCUUUACAGAAAGGAGACAUGGAGAUCCGAUGGCAUUGCCUGGGCUUGAUUCCUAUACCUCAGCCUCAUCACAGACGGCUUGAAGAGACCACGCCUUGGACUCAGAACCAAGGAAGAUACACAGAGGCUCAGUAUUCUACAGUAUUGACCUGACAUCCAUGUAGUAAAUGUCACCAACCCCAAGCAGUAGGCGUGAGUCUACCAGGGAAUUGUGACAAAGUGCAGAAGACUAGGUGGUCUAAAGAAAAGAAAUGUGUUGUUGGUUCCAGAACCCAGAAGCUCAGGAUCGAGGUGUCCACAGGGCUAGUUCCUCUGAGGGCCCCAAGAGCCUUCCAGGACUCUGGUGGAUGAAGGCCUUCUUUGACAUCCCUGGGGCCUCCCAGCACAGCGCUGCUCCGUCUCAACUCCUCAGCCUGACGGCGCUGGUCACACCACAGAAGCUUCAGCACCAUGAUGCUGCCAUAGCCACAGAGGAAAGAAACUGCAGCUUAGACAGACCUGGUGGCCACAGGCCCACAGUGGGGUCUCUCAUUGCUGAGAAUAACCUUGAACUACCUCAUCCUAUACAUUUUCCAGCUUUGGUCUCUGUGUGACUGAACAUCUUUUUAGAAGUUCACCAUCCAUGUUCAUUUCUUUCGUGAAAUACAAACCUUGCAUACUUUGCCCAUUUUUAUUAGGCCUUUUGUCAUUUUUUCCCACUGACUCAUAGAGCCUUCUGCGUCUAAGAACCUUACUCCUUAAAGAAUGUGAGACACUCAUCUUCCUGUGGCCUACUGGAUGCCCAUUUUCUUGGUGUGUCUUUGAUCACAGAAACAUUUCGCAAUGCCAUAUACUCAUAGGACUCCUGGUUUUCUUGACGUGCUGUGAAGGGAAGGACUGUCCGCUUUGCCUAGUGUGCAGAGCAGGUGGGCCUCCUGCCGCAUCGCUGUGAGGACAAUGGCCCAGAGAAUGGCGGGUGCAGUAGUUGUCUUGUAUUCUUUUAGCAAUGUUGCGGUUUUAGUCACAUUCAGCCACCGGAGUGUCUGUGUGUGUACACCACAUGAAGCAGGGUUUUGUUAUUUGCUUCUAUUGGAGAACAGCCAUCCCAGUUUCCUCUACUGACAAAGCCACCCUUUCCCACUGACAUGAUAAUGCUUUGACAGACAUUUCUUAGACACGUUGGGCGCUGCUGUCAAGAUUGGCACAUGGCGGAACUCUGCGAACACUGGCUUCUGGGCACAGCUGGAAUGCCAGCUGGGUAGGAGCUAGCACCACCACAGUACAGCUGAACACAGAGCUCCAAACUCUGAAGAACUACAGCCCGCGAUCAUGGCUUUGGUUUGGCUUUUACUUUCAAGCCAGCUUGAUUUGUCCACCUUAACAUUUCCACCGUUUACAUUGGUUUAGGGUAAGCUACCAGGCAGUGACUCGGUGUGUGUGUCACUGGUGCAACCAGACCCUCACCCAAUCAAGAUACGUCCAUCUUUCAGGAGUUCCUUUGUUUUCCAUGUCGUUGGUCUCCCGCCCCUUUCCCCACAGGCAACGGCGAUUGUUCUAAAUGUGUGUGUGCAGACGCUUGAUAACAUUUUUCAGAGAAAUAAGCCACCCAGCAACACCAGUCAUUGGCUGGGGAGGAAAGCCAACUUCCCUCAAGGGCCUGCUCUUGGCUGGCAGCCAAGGAGCAGCAGAAGGACUGCAGGGACAAACAGCCCCGUGGAACUGAAGGCUUGAGGACUUCCCUCGUGGAACCGACUAGUGCUUUCUAGGCCAAAGAGACCCCAUCCCAGAUUACCUCAACAAGUUCCAUUGUGGUCAGUAUUUCCAAAGCUAAGAAUAAAACCUGUUAAAUAUUUA